rnacentral:rRNA from 1 species
AAACACGGACCAAGGAGUGCAACAUGCGUGCGAGUCUUUGGGUAUCAAACCCAGCGGCACAAUGAAAGUGAAGGCAGGCAGUGGUCUGCUUAGGCGAGAGUCUUCUUGGAGACGCAUCGUCGACCGAUCCCAGGUCACGCUGUGGCGGGAUUUGAGUGAGAGCGUGCCUGUUGCGACCCGAAAGAUGGUGAACUAUGCCUGAAUAGGGUGAAGCCAGAGGAAACUCUGGUGGAAGCUCGUAGCGAUUCUGACGUGCAAAUCGAUCGUCAAAUUUGGGUAUAGGGGCGAAAGACUAAUCGAACCAUCUAGUAGCUGGUUCCCUCCGAAGUUUCCCUCAGGAUAGCUGGAGCCCGGUGCAGUUUUAUCAGGUAAAGCGAAUGAUUAGAGGUCUUGGGGUUGAAACAACCUCAACCUAUUCUCAAACUUUAAAUGGGUAAGAAGCUUGGCUUGCUUAAUUGAAGUCGAGCAUUGAAUGCCGGGGCUCUUAGUGGGCCAUUUUUGGUAAGCAGAACUGGCGAUGUGGGAUGAACCAAAUGCUGGGUUAAGGUGCCCGAAUCGACGCUCAUCAGAUACCAUAAAAGGUGUUGGUUGAUCUAGACAGCAGGACGGUGGCCAUGGAAGUCGGAAUCCGCUAAGGAGUGUGUAACAACUCACCUGC